rnacentral:tRNA from 1 species
GCCUGGCUGGCUCAGUGAGUAGAACACGUAACUCCUGAUCUUGGAGUCAUGAGUUCAAUCCCCAUGCUGGGCG